AACGAACGUUAGCGGCGCGCCUAACACAUGCAAGUCGCACGAGAAAGGGCUUCGGCCCCGGUAAAGUGGCGCACGGGUGAGUAACACGUGGGUAAUCUGCCCUCGAGCGGGGGAUAACAUUCCGAAAGGAGUGCUAAUACCGCAUAAGACCACGACCUCGAAAGAGGACGAGGUAAAAGCUGGCCUCUAUACAUAAGCUAGCACUUGAGGAUGAGCCCGCGGCGCAUCAGGUAGUUGGUGAGGUAACGGCUCACCAAGCCUAAGACGCGUAGCUGGUCUGAGAGGAUGAUCAGCCACACUGGAACUGAGACACGGUCCAGACUCCUACGGGAGGCAGCAGUGGGGAAUCUUGCGCAAUGGGCGAAAGCCUGACGCAGCGACGCCGCGUGAGUGAUGAAGGCCUUCGGGUUGUAAAGCUCUGUGGGGAGAGACGAAUAAGUGCCGCCUAAUACGUUGCAUGAUGACGGUAUCUCCUUAGCAAGCACCGGCUAACUCUGUGCCAGCAGCCGCAGUAAAAC
rnacentral:rRNA from 1 species